GACCUGUAUCUCGAACUGUUACCGGAUGGUGGCGUGUAGAGGACAACUCUAAUAGAGACGUGGUUGGGA
rnacentral:ncRNA from 1 species